rnacentral:rRNA from 1 species
CAGCAGCCGCGGGAAUACGAAGGGGGCUAGCGUUGUUCGGAAUCACUGGGCGUAAAGCGCACGUAGGCGGACACUUAAGUCAGAGGUGAAAUCCCAAGGCUCAACCUUGGAACUGCCUUUGAUACUGGGUGUCUUGAGUUCGGGAGAGGUGAGUGGAACUGCGAGUGUAGAGGUGAAAUUCGUAGAUAUUCGCAAGAACACCAGUGGCGAAGGCGGCUCACUGGCCCGAUACUGACGCUGAGGUGCGAAAGCGUGGGGAGCAAACAGGAUUAGAUACCCCCGUAGUCCCUGUCUCUUAUAC